GGGUUGUGAGGUUAAGCGACUAAGCGUACACGGUGGAUGCCCUGGCAGUCAGAGGCGAUGAAGGACGUGCUAAUCUGCGAUAAGCGUCGGUGAGGUGAUAUGAACCGUUAUAACCGGCGAUUUCCGAAUGGGGAAACCCAGUGUGUUUCGACACACUAUCAUUAACUGAAUCCAUAGGUUAAUGAGGCGAACCGGGGGAACUGAAACAUCUAAGUACCCCGAGGAAAAGAAAUCAACCGAGAUUCCCCCAGUAGCGGCGAGCGAACGGGGAGGAGCCCAGAGCCUGAAUCAGUGUGUGUGUUAGUGGAAGCGUCUGGAAAGGCGUGCGAUACAGGGUGACAGCCCCGUACACAAAAAUGCACAUAUUGUGAGCUCGAUGAGUAGGGCGGGACACGUGGUAUCCUGUCUGAAUAUGGGGGGACCAUCCUCCAAGGCUAAAUACUCCUGACUGACCGAUAGUGAACCAGUACCGUGAGGGAAAGGCGAAAAGAACCCCGGCGAGGGGAGUGAAAAAGAACCUGAAACCGUGUACGUACAAGCAGUGGGAGCCUCUUAAUGGGGUGACUGCGUACCUUUUGUAUAAUGGGUCAGCGACUUAUAUUCUGUAGCAAGGUUAACCGAAUAGGGGAGCCGAAGGGAAACCGAGUCUUAACUGGGCGUUAAGUUGCAGGGUAUAGACCCGAAACCCGGUGAUCUAGCCAUGGGCAGGUUGAAGGUUGGGUAACACUAACUGGAGGACCGAACCGACUAAUGUUGAAAAAUUAGCGGAUGACUUGUGGCUGGGGGUGAAAGGCCAAUCAAACCGGGAGAUAGCUGGUUCUCCCCGAAAGCUAUUUAGGUAGCGCCUCGUGAAUUCAUCUCCGGGGGUAGAGCACUGUUUCGGCAAGGGGGUCAUCCCGACUUACCAACCCGAUGCAAACUGCGAAUACCGGAGAAUGUUAUCACGGGAGACACACGGCGGGUGCUAACGUCCGUCGUGAAGAGGGAAACAACCCAGACCGCCAGCUAAGGUCCCAAAGUCAUGGUUAAGUGGGAAACGAUGUGGGAAGGCCCAGACAGCCAGGAUGUUGGCUUAGAAGCAGCCAUCAUUUAAAGAAAGCGUAAUAGCUCACUGGUCGAGUCGGCCUGCGCGGAAGAUGUAACGGGGCUAAACCAUGCACCGAAGCUGCGGCAGCGACACUAUGUGUUGUUGGGUAGGGGAGCGUUCUGUAAGCCUGUGAAGGUGGCCUGUGAGGGUUGCUGGAGGUAUCAGAAGUGCGAAUGCUGACAUAAGUAACGAUAAAGCGGGUGAAAAGCCCGCUCGCCGGAAGACCAAGGGUUCCUGUCCAACGUUAAUCGGGGCAGGGUGAGUCGACCCCUAAGGCGAGGCCGAAAGGCGUAGUCGAUGGGAAACAGGUUAAUAUUCCUGUACUUGGUGUUACUGCGAAGGGGGGACGGAGAAGGCUAUGUUGGCCGGGCGACGGUUGUCCCGGUUUAAGCGUGUAGGCUGGUUUUCCAGGCAAAUCCGGAAAACCAAGGCUGAGGCGUGAUGACGAGGCACUACGGUGCUGAAGUGACAAAUGCCCUGCUUCCAGGAAAAGCCUCUAAGCAUCAGGUAACAUCAAAUCGUACCCCAAACCGACACAGGUGGUCAGGUAGAGAAUACCAAGGCGCUUGAGAGAACUCGGGUGAAGGAACUAGGCAAAAUGGUGCCGUAACUUCGGGAGAAGGCACGCUGAUAUGUAGGUGAAGCGACUUGCUCGUGGAGCUGAAAUCAGUCGAAGAUACCAGCUGGCUGCAACUGUUUAUUAAAAACACAGCACUGUGCAAACACGAAAGUGGACGUAUACGGUGUGACGCCUGCCCGGUGCCGGAAGGUUAAUUGAUGGGGUUAGCGGUAACGCGAAGCUCUUGAUCGAAGCCCCGGUAAACGGCGGCCGUAACUAUAACGGUCCUAAGGUAGCGAAAUUCCUUGUCGGGUAAGUUCCGACCUGCACGAAUGGCGUAAUGAUGGCCAGGCUGUCUCCACCCGAGACUCAGUGAAAUUGAACUCGCUGUGAAGAUGCAGUGUACCCGCGGCAAGACGGAAAGACCCCGUGAACCUUUACUAUAGCUUGACACUGAACAUUGAGCCUUGAUGUGUAGGAUAGGUGGGAGGCUUUGAAGUGUGGACGCCAGUCUGCAUGGAGCCGACCUUGAAAUACCACCCUUUAAUGUUUGAUGUUCUAACGUUGGCCCGUAAUCCGGGUUGCGGACAGUGUCUGGUGGGUAGUUUGACUGGGGCGGUCUCCUCCUAAAGAGUAACGGAGGAGCACGAAGGUUGGCUAAUCCUGGUCGGACAUCAGGAGGUUAGUGCAAUGGCAUAAGCCAGCUUGACUGCGAGCGUGACGGCGCGAGCAGGUGCGAAAGCAGGUCAUAGUGAUCCGGUGGUUCUGAAUGGAAGGGCCAUCGCUCAACGGAUAAAAGGUACUCCGGGGAUAACAGGCUGAUACCGCCCAAGAGUUCAUAUCGACGGCGGUGUUUGGCACCUCGAUGUCGGCUCAUCACAUCCUGGGGCUGAAGUAGGUCCCAAGGGUAUGGCUGUUCGCCAUUUAAAGUGGUACGCGAGCUGGGUUUAGAACGUCGUGAGACAGUUCGGUCCCUAUCUGCCGUGGGCGCUGGAGAACUGAGGGGGGCUGCUCCUAGUACGAGAGGACCGGAGUGGACGCAUCACUGGUGUUCGGGUUGUCAUGCCAAUGGCACUGCCCGGUAGCUAAAUGCGGAAGAGAUAAGUGCUGAAAGCAUCUAAGCACGAAACUUGCCCCGAGAUGAGUUCUCCCUGACUCCUUGAGGGUCCUGAAGGAACGUUGAAGACGACGACGUUGAUAGGCCGGGUGUGUAAGCGCAGCGAUGCGUUGAGCUAACCGGUACUAAUGAACCGUGAGGCUUAACCUUACAACGCCGAAG
rnacentral:rRNA from 2 species